CGCCCCCGCCCCGCUGGCGCCCCCGCGGUCCGGCGCGCGCCCCUUACCUUGGCCUGGCAUUUCCGAUGACAGGAGAAGCUGCAGACUGCGGAGGGCAGACAGAAAGAAAGUUUUAGCCGCGAGGACACUCAGCCCGAGGCUGCAGGACACUCCCUCCCCAGGGGCCAUUUCUCACUGGGGCCUGCAGCAGGUGCGGGAAGAACAAGGGCCCCUAGAGUACCCCCAAGCACCUGACGGCUCCUUUGGAAUGCAGUUCGGAUCCUCUGGUCUAUUCCAGCCCCUUCAUUUUAAAGAAAAGGGGGAAAUCGGUUCCCGGGGAGGUAAGCAGCUCUCCCAAGGUCACCCAGCCGGACAGUGGGAAGCCAGGACCAGCAACCCAGGUCUUCACUGGGGCCGGCAGUGACCAAAUGCAUUGUUACGUGGAUGAAUAUGUGACAACGAAUUCCACUGAUGUGUGGGAUAAUUAUACAAUUAUCAUGCACUGAUGAAAACAUGGGGGAAAAUAGAUAAAAAUGAGUAGAGUCCAAACAAAGAAAGAGAAAA